CAGAUCCUCCGGGACCCACGUCGCCCCGUGCGUUGGGCUGCAAGAGGCAUCAUUCGGUAGGAGUCUCUUAGGUCCAUUCUGGACCUAUGGAAGUGUGUGUGUGUGUGUGUGUGUGUGUGUACCAAUCCAUGCCUUUUCUUACUAAAUCUCCACCAGACCUGAAAAAUAGUGUUCCCAUUUUACAGAUACCACCUGAGGGAGUCCUUAGCUAACUCUGCAACCCUCCCUCUGCCUCAGAAUGCACACUCCUACCCUCGUUCUUUCAUCCCCAGUGUCCUUAAACUCACCACCAUUUACCUUUUACACUUGAUGUACAUUUUGUGAUAUUCCUGCCGUCAGCUCUAGAAUGUAAAUUCCAGGAGGCAGUGGUUUUGUUCUUGCUCACUGCUCUAUCGCAGAGAGAAGAGUAGCACAGGAUGUGCAAUGGAUGUUUGCUGAACAAGCGAGGACACUGCCCUUAAAGUGUUUUGCCCCAAGGCUACAUAUUGUAAGCGGCAGCGCUAGAACUUGACCCCGUUAUUAUACAUUCUCAAACUGGAGGCUUUUCCAGUUCACCCACUGUCUCAUGUCAUUGUUCAGGUUUGACUUGUGGUAGGAUUAGUACUAUCUACCUCACAAAACACAAGGCAUGCAAAAGAGAUAAUGGAAAGCAUUCUGCCAACUCUAACUAGUUAUACCCAAAUGCAUGAGAUCUCACAGGUCUUCAUUUAUAUAUUUAUUUUAAAAUUGGAUUGGGAAUGUAGCUCAGUGGUAGAGCAUUUACCUAGCAUGCAACAGGGCCCUGGGUUUAAUCCCUAGUACCGAAAAGAAAAAUUAAGCGCUUACCACUUGUGUGUCCUGAUGUAACUUUUAGUCUAGUUAGGAAGGCAGAUCAUCAAGGAUCACAAAGAGAAUUAUAUGAUUCAAAAUAGCAAUGGAUGCUAUAAAGAGAAAUAAUAACAACAGGGUACUGAAUUUACACAUCAGGGAGGCAAUUCCCAUCAGGCUGGUGGAAUAGCUUUGUGAGAUCUGGUCCUGGGAACUGUGGAAUGUAGGGCACUAAAAGAACCUCCAUCUGAGAGGAGGAUAGAGAAUGGUUCUCUUUAGACAAGUUUAGGACCCUCUUUAACUUCUUUGGGAUGUUUCCUGGCAGGUCAGUUAUUUCAUGCUGGGUUCUAAUGUAUUUAAAAGUAGAAGCAAGUCGUGGAAUGGAGUAACACCUAAGCAUUAGUAGUUAAGUGAGCACAGUGCUCACCUCUCUGAGCCUCAGUGCCUGUAUGUGGAAAAUGAGGAUAAGAGAAUUGAUCUCUGUUAGAGGACUGAAUUAAGAAAAUGCUUGUAGUUGACAUCACACAGUGUAAGUGGCUUACAUGUUAGCUAUCAUUUUUGUUUGUUUGUUUGGGGAAAUAUGCCUUAGAAAACUGGGUUUGGAAUGGACCCUAGAAGUCAUGUAGUCAAAUAGUUUGUGUCUUAUUGAGAUGCCUCGAUUUCUAUUCUUUCUUGUGCUGCCCAUUAUUGAACUAUUUCUCAAAUUCCCUUCAAUUAAAGGAUGUGCAAAAGAGACAUAGGAGGAUAAGCAGUUGUUUAAAGAAAAUGUGUUAUAUGGAAUCACACUGCAUGACCUUUCUGUUCUCACCUCAAAAAUCUUGAGGCGGGAACAGAAAGGUCAUGCAGUGUGAUUUACUUACAGUGCUCUUUCUUGAGAACUGUACACAGCAGGCCUCUGCCUGAAGCACUCCUUAGGGUGCCCAUGCCUCAAACCUCAAAGCCCUGCAGUCACUCUGUCUAGUUUUCACCACUGUCUGCAUUUUAUUCUCUCAUUUUUUUCUGUUGUCAUUGUCUCCCUCUCUUACCUCUGAACCCCACAAAGGGAGAGACAACAUCGGGUUCACUAUUCUGUCCUCAGUGCCAGAGCAAUGCCUACAACAGAGCAUAUCUUCAAAUAUGUAUUGAGUGGAUGUGAAGCAAUAAUGUUGAGGAAGUAAAAGAGAAACAUGUUUGUCAAAAAGGGUUGAAGGAGGGGCUGUGGCUGUGGCUGUGGCACAGCAGUAGAGCACUCGCCUAGCACGUGCAAGGCCCUGAGUUCCAUCCUCAGCACCACAUAAAAAUAGAGAAAUAAAUAAAUAAAAUAAAGAUAUUAAAAAAUAUAAGCAUAAUAUAUUUAAAAAAACAGCCUGUUUUCUCCACUUAUGAACUUCACAUAUGUUUGCACACUACCAACAGAGUGGACCACUCAGAAUUAAAUAUAAUAAUCUUGGCUACAAAAUUCUCACCGCUCUUGAUCUUUUGAUGCUUGGGUUCAUUAUACCUUGCAUUUUGGUGAUUUCAGAACAACUCUUAUCUCCCUAACUGGACAAUAAAUUCCCUCUAUCAGGGUUGCAGGACAUCCAGAUUUGAAUUUCAGAUAAACAAUAAAUAAUGUUUAGUAAAGAUACAUCCCAAAGAUUUGCAUGGGGUAACAUAUUCUAUAUUUUUUAUUUGCUCAAUCUGGCGACCCUACCUUCAGAGCAUAAUCUGGAACUUAUUCACCUCUCUACCCUUCUCUUCCCAUGUUCAAGCUGGCAUGUGUUUUACACACAGUAGGUGCUCAAUAAACUCUUGUGAAAUGAAUAAUUGCAUGACUACAGACUGAGGGACUUAUAUUCAGGUUACAACAUUUCAGGAGACAUACUCCCAUUAUAGUUUUUUUUCUAUAGAAACAAAAGAAAAAAUGGAGAAUCUGGUCAUGUGGUAGCUUCCAAUUAAUUAAUUAGUUAAUGUUAAAUAAAUAUAUAAAACAUUACAUUUUCAUUAGUUGUAAGCAAACAAUUCAAUGGCAUCAAAUACAUGAAAUACAUUCACAACGCUGUGUGACUAUCACCACAAUCUAGACCUAAAACCUUUCAUUAUUGCCAAGAAAAAUCCUCUAUUAAACAAUAACUCUUCCUCCUUACCCUCAAUCUCUAGAAACUUCUUUUUCUGUGUCUAUGAAUUUGACUAUUCUCAGUGCUUUGUAUAAGUGGUAUCAUAUAUAUUCAUUCUUCUAUGAUUGGCGUAUUUCACUAAGCAUGUUUUCAAGGUCCAUUCAUGUUGUUACAUAUGUAAAAGGUUCACUCCUUUUGUGGCUAAAUAUUAUUCUGCUAUGUGCACAUACGUAUCUUGUUUAUCCAUUCAACUACUAAUGGGCCCUUGGGUGGUUUCCACCUUCCAGUUACUGUGAAUGAUGCUGCAGUGAGCGCUGGCAUAUAAAUAUCUGUUAGAGCCCCUGUCUUCAAUUCUUUGAAAUAUAUACCCAGGAGUGGAACUGCUGGUCAUGUGGUAGUUCUAUAUCUCAACUUCUGUUUUCCACAGUGACUGUACCCCUUCACACUCCCUCUAGCAAUGCAUGUGUGUUCCAGUUUCUCCACAUCCUUUGCCAGGACUUGUUUUUGUUUUUUUCUUCUCAAGUUAUAGCCAUCCUAUUGGGUAUGGAAUGGUAUUUCUUUAUGGAUUUGAUUUACUUCAGAGGUACCAAUUUUAACUUAGGAAAGAAAUGGUUUGUAACUGUGGCUUAGAAAAAUAGUUUUUUUAAAAAUAUUUUUUGUUGUAGAUGGACAUGCUACCUUUAUUUAUUAAUUAAUUAAUUUUUUAUGUGCUGCUGAGGAUCAAACCCAGUGCCUCAUGUAUGCUAGGCAAGUGCUCUGCCACUGAGUUUCAGCCCCAGCCCAUAGGAAAAUACUUUUAGCAGAUUUUUCAGUUAUAAAGGCAAAGCCCAGAACACAGUCUGCAACAGAAAGUUAAAGACAGCUAAAUUAUUCCACAUUUUUAUUGUGUGUAAUACUGAUUUUUACCUGGUAUCUAAUAAGAGACAUGUGGUGAGGGCCUCGAGAGAGGAUGAUAUCAAAGAUGGGAGAAGGCACUGGAUUGGGAGGAAGCCAAAUCCAGCAUCAAGAUAUCAGGAGGCUCACAGGAUGGACAGUCAGUGAUACCUGGUAUUUGGGUUUCUGUGGCUUCCUAUGCUGUUAUAAUUCCAAAUCCAUCUUAACCCCAAAAGUUUGGUAAAAGGGGAUUAUGUACAACACCUUAGAUUAAGAGUGCUUUAGGGAGUGAAAGGGGGGGAUUGUGUCUGUAUCUGGGGUGAGUCACCUUCAGAAUGAACUUCAGCCUUAGGAAAGUUGAAGAUACCACCAGGAGCCAGGAGAAGAUACAGAAGGAGUACUGGGCAACAAGUGACCACCAGGAGAAAGCUCCAGACAGCUCAUCAUCACCACAGAGCUGACGCUGUCAGGUUUUGGAUGCCCGGGAUCUGUUCCCUCUUCCUCCAGCUAUAGCUGGUGACCAGUGGGAAAGCACCGCUUCCUCCUAGCCUAUGGGGUCCUCAUGCCUUUGCUCUGGGGGUGUGCACAUGAUCUGCACCUGGCCAACCUGCAUUUUCCAUCCCUCUGACUGCAGCAUUGGUUCAGGACAGAACGUGUGACCAAAGUUGGACCCAUGAGAGGUAUCUCUAGGCCUUUUUCCACAGCUCUUGAGGAUUUCUGCCUAAGUUGUUAAGGGCCAUCUUUGCUACCCAUUGAGCCAAUACAGAAGCAAAGAGGUACAAGGGAUCGGAAGAUAACAUGGUACGAAGUCUGAUGACACCGAGCAUCUAGCCUCACACUCUUGGGCCAGGCAUUGAAGUCACAUGAGCCAAUCAAUUUAGUUUUUGCUUUAGCUUAUUAGUUGAUUUGGGUGGCUCUGAUUUUCACCCAAAAAGAUCCUGACAUGAGAGAGCUGUAAAAACUUGAGUUGAACCAUCUCAGCAAAGGAAAUUGCUGCUUCAACUAUUGUCCUUUUGCUUUGGCUGAAGGAGGACGCGAUCAUCCUCGUUUUCAAUCCCUCCUUCUCACGUCCUUAGUUUUCCAUACUGCAUUUAGGUAUUCCUUGUACCACCAUGCUGACAUGAAGCAGAAUUCCAUACAGCCCUCGUGUCCUUUGUGUGAAAAGGCUCAUGUCCAUGGAGAUGGCUGGUCAAGGGCAACGGUAUUUGAAGAAAUUACCCUGAUUUCUGAUGUUGCUGGGUGUUGAGUAGUUCCUUAGAGGAUGCAUCAGGUACUUGUCUUUAUAUUUUAUGAAUGUUAAAACCCUGGAAACAGAGUGUCAGAGGAUGAGAAGAGACUGGCUUUUAAAGAUGUUCUAUAUUUAAAUUAUAGCUGCAAGCUGCGUAUUUUCACCUACAUUAACAGCAGGGAAGCAGCUAUACUUUUCUGAACCAUUUGCCUCCUUAAUUGGUAACUAAGAUUGUCUUUUUCCAUUUUUUUUCCCCUCAGAAAGAACCACAUUUAUGCUCUUUUGGUCUGUAACAGGGUCGAAUUUAGUUACAUCAACAUCCUAAUUUUAAAACCAUCAGCUCAGCAACUUUUGUCCUUAGUCACUUGAGCACAGCUACUUGGAACACAUCAAAAAUUACCCUGAUUUUUGCUCCUGCUGGGCAUUCAGAAUUUCCUUAGAGGAUGUGUCAGGUACUGUCUUUGCUUCAAGAUCAUGAUGAAUAGAGUUGACUCCUUCACUGAAUGAGUGACUAAAGGAUACAUUAAAUCCCAGACUUGAGGAGUUAAAUGAGACAUCUGAAAUGCAUCAGGAAUUGGCAAGCACAUGAUCACCGGCUGGAUUAUGUGUCUUGAAGUUACAGUUUUUCUGUAUCUAUUCCAGGGUCUGGAAAGCUGCCAGACACCAUCAAUUUCAUUACUACAUGCUUCAAAUUUUCCUAUUGGAAAGUAUUUUCCUCUUUCUCUACCCUACACUGCCCUAAGCAAAAUUUAGAACGAAGUGGUUAUAAACAUGGAAUCCAGAGCCAAGAUGUUAGAAAGUGAACUUACCCUGUUACUUUCUGACAAGGUGACUUGACUUCUCUGGGACUUGGUAUUCUUUUCUUUAAAAUGGAUAUAAUCACAGAUCCUGCUUGGGAAGGAUGCUGUAAGGGAUAAAUGAGAUGAUACUCAUGCCUGGUAUAAAUGUUGCCCCGCCAGAAACUCACUGCUGGGUUAACUAUGCACAUCCUCUGCUGAGAACCAGAGGUUUGGAGUAAGGUUAUGCAUCUGUGACAACGUGUAUUAGUUUGUACAUACUAACAGAGACUAAGGGUGUCUUCUGUUCUGUGUCAACAGUGCUGGGCUUCACACUCCUUUGAGUCUAAAAAUUUGGUAAAGCCAAUUGAAAGAGAGAUACAGCUUACUGGAGUGGCCUGGACAUGGCAGGAGGGAGGUCAGGGUUAUGGUGUGGUUGUGGGGUUCACCUCUCUCUGUCUCACUCAGUCCUUUGGCUCAAGUACCAGGGUUCCUAUUUCUCCUUCUGGGAAAAGGAGUCAGUUAGACCCAGUCGGGCUUUGAACCCUGGUUUGUCUUCUGUGACCUCAGACACAAAUCUGGGUGCUAGGGGUUGAGUACUAGCUAGGGGUUGAGUACUAAGAUCGGUAAGUCACUGCUGGUAUUUACUCAAGCAACAGGCUCUCCAGUUACUGUCCUUUCAAAUUUUGAAUUCUUUCUUUACUCUAAUAUCAAGGCAAUGAUCAGUGGCAAACUAUUCCUCCUAAUUAAAGUUUUGUCUUUUACCAACAUCUUCUCCACCAGUAAUUACCAUUUUACUCUUAUAAGUCUGAUUUUUUUAGAUUUCAUUUAUAAGUGAGAUCAUGUGGUGUUUUUCUAUGCCUGCUCUAUUGCACUGAAAUAGGAUCCUAUUUAAUUAAUUAAAAAAACAUUUAUUUUUUAGUUGUUGUUGGACACAAUACCUCUAUUUUGUUUAUUUAUUUUUUACGUGGUGCUGAGGAUGGAACCUAGGGCCCAGCAUGUGCGAGGUGAGCGCUCUACUGCUGAGCCACAACCCCAGCCCCUAAUUUAUUUUUUUCCAUCUUUUUUAUUAGUGCAUUACAAUUGUACAUAAUGGUACAGUUAUUGGGGUUUGUUGUUACAUAGUCGCCAUGCACACAAUAUAACAAUAUAAUCUGGCCAAUAUCACUCCCCAGUAUUCCCCCUUUCCCUCUCUUCCUCCUUCCUCCUGGUCCUUUCCCCCUACUCUACCGAUCUCUCUUUAAUUUUCAUAAGAUUGCUGUCUACCUUUCUUUUCCUUUUUUUCUCUCUGGCUUUCACAUAUGAGAGAAAAUAUAACCCUUGACUUUCUGAGUUUGGCUUAUUUAAUGUAACAUAAUGCUGUCAAUUCCACCCAUUUUUCUGCAAAUGACGUAAUUUCAUUCUUCUUUAUGGCUGAGUAAAACUCCUUUGUGUGUACAUGUGUGUGUGUGUAUAUAUAUAUAUGUGCCUAUAUACAUAUGUGUGUAUAUAUACAUGUGCAUAUAUAUAUGUGUGUGUGUGUAUAUAUAUAUGACAUUUUCUUAAUCUGUCUUUCAUUGUUGGACAUCUAGGCUGGUUCCAUAAUUUGGCUAUUGUGAAUUGUGCUGCUAUAAACAUGAAUAUGCGUGUAUCAGUGUAGUAUGAUGACUUUAAUUCUUUUUUUUAAUUUAUUUUUUAGUUGUAGUUGGACACAAUACCUUUAUUUUAUUUAUUUAUUUUUAUGUGGUGCUGAGGAUCGAACCCAGGUCCUUGCAUGUGCUAGGCCAACGCUCUACCGCUGAGCCACAACCCCAGCCCUGAUGACUUUAAUUCUUUAGAACUAAGUGGUAUAGUUGGGUCAUAUGGUGGUUUCAUCCCUGGUCUUUUGAUGAGCCUCCAUACCAAUUUCCAUAGUGGUGCAUGAAUUUAAAGUCCUACUAACAGUAUAAAAGUGUUCCUUGUUCUCCACAUCUUCUUCACAUGAUCCCACUUAUAUUAUACAAAAUUUGUAUUUUUCUGUGUGUAUCAAAACAUCUGGAAGAAUAUAUCUGAAAUAAUAAGAUUAUCUCUAGAUAUCAGGCUGGUUUCUAUUUCUUCUUUUUUACUCUUCAACAUUGUCCAAAUUUCUCUAUCAUUAUCAUACAUUAUUAACUUGGUACUGGAAUACAAAAAAUAGUUAUUUCCUACUAGGGAAACAAAAAAGGAAAAUAUUCAAAAAAUACUUGUGAACAUGUUAACAGUGUUUGUCUUUAUUUGGAGAUUUCUUAUACUUUUUCAUUCUUAUUCUUUAUACUUAUUUUCAUUCUAAAAUUCUUUAAUGAAGAUACAUUACAGUAGUCUCAUUUUAUUCUUGGUUUUUGCUUUCCAAGAUUUCAAUUGCCUGAGCGCAACCAGGGUCUAAAAAUAUUAUGUACCAAAUUCCAGAAAUAAAUGCUGUUUUGAGUAUGUGAUAAAAUCUUAUGCCAUCUUGCUCUGCCUUGACCAGGACAUAAAUCAUUCCUUUGAAAAGGACAUGAAUCUACACUGUUUAUUAUACCACCUACCAAGUAGCCAUCUCAAUUAUCAGAUGAACUAUGGAGGCAUCUCAGUGCUUGUGUUCAAGUAACCCUUAUUUUACUUAAUAAUGGCCCGUAAGCACAAGAGUAAGGAUGCUGACAAUUUGGACAUACCAAAGAGAAGUCACAAAGUGCUUCUUUAAGUUAAAAGGUGAAAGUUCUCAACAAGGAAAGAAAAAAAAAUCAUAUUCUGGGGUUUCUUAGGUAAGUUAUUAUGGUUAAUUUCUUACUAUGCCUCAUUUUUAAAUUAAACCUAAUUUUAGGUAUGUAUACUAGGAAAAGUCAUAGUAUACAUAAGGUUCAACAGUAUCUGAGGUUUACGGCAUCCACUGGGGGAAAUAUUCUCUAUAGAUAAGGGGGAUUAUUGUUCUGCUUUUGUUUUUAUUAAUGGUUGUUAUUCCUUUUUUUUUUUUUUGUGGUGCAGGGGGAUUGAACCCAGAGCCUGGUGCAGGCAAGGCAAGCACUCUACUCACUGAGCUAUUUGACAUUCCUACAACUACACCAGCUACAUUUUGGCUUGUAUCUGCUUAUUCCACAGUUUUGCAUCUCUUUAUUUAUUCUUUCUUUGUUUUUUUGAGGUGGGGAUCUUACUAUAUUGCUGAGGAUGGUCUCUAAUUCCUGGGUUCAAGGGAUCCUCUUGUCCUCCUCUUGCCCCAAGUAGCUGGGAUGACAGGUGCAUGCCACUGUGUCCAGCUACAACAUCCCCCCCUUUUUUUUUUAACCUUUCUGAGCCUUUUAAAAAGUUUAUCUCUUAUAUAAUCUCAAAAUUAUGUUGACCAGAUAAUUUUUCUUUUAUUAUUGUGGUAAAAUGUCCUUAAUAUAAAUUUUACCAUUUUAAGUAUUUGUAAAUGUACACUUCAAUGGCAUUAAGUACACUCACAACAUUGUGUGAUCACCACCUCAUUUCCAGAACGUUUUCAUCAUCCCAACAGAAACUUCAUAACUGUUGGACAGUAAGUCCCCAUGUCUUCUGUCCCCAGCCCCCAGGGACCUCUGUUCUACUUUUUGCCUCUAUAAAAGUUGUAUCUCAUAGAAAUGGAACAUAUAAUAUUGUCCUGCUUUUUUCGACACCCUUCUUUAUAUUUAUUUUUUAGUUAUAGGUAGUCACAAAAUCUUUAUUUUAUUUUAUGUGGUGCUCAGAAUUGAACCCAGUGCCUCACGCAUGCUAGGCGAACACUCUACCUCUGAGCCACAACCCCAGCCCCUCUACACUCUUUUAAACAACUAUUUUUAUGGUUUGUAGCCAUCUCAAAAACUAGCAGAAAUUACAUGCACACUUGAAUGCAAUCAGAAAACUAUCAUUUUCUGUGAUCACGUAUCCUAACAUCAAUCACUCAUAAAAUAUGAAACAGUGUCUGCAGUUUCUCGAAUUUUAAUAACUGCACAAACUUCUUUAUGAAGAAAACAUUCACCUGUUGAAAGGGAGCACUAUUUGUCCGACUCGAAUGUGAGUUCAUCCUUUUCAGAUUCUCAGAUCACGCAGACACGUGGAAUCCUUGGGCUCCGGGAGUCACGCACCCGCCCUAAGACCUGAACUGGGAUCCGCAGGGGCCGCCCUGGGAGGCCGAGUCCAGGGCGGACAAACCUCCGCCUUCUCCUACUUGGGCCCUGACACUUUCUCUCCAGUCCAUCAGGCAUCAUUAGACAGAGACUUGGGGAAAGGGAGUCUUCAUUCCUCCGCGCACACGACGAUGCGUCCCGUGAACACCCCCAGCGAUAGACAGCCCCGCUCACCACGUUGAAAAGUGUCGGGCGACUCCACCGCACAGAAGUCCCUGCUGAGGAGCCCCUCGCCGCCUCCUGGGAGAGACCACUUGAGAGAGACACGCGCGCAGGGCUAGGGAAGCAGCUCAGUGUGGAGCGCGUGCCCAGCAGGCGGGAGAGCCCAGGUUCCUGCCCCAGCACCGCAGCCAGCGAAAGACAUAUGCGUGGAAGUCGUCGGCCCCGUUGGGCCCCGCCCCCAAGCCUGCCUAAGCCAAUCAGGGCCAGACAGCUGGGCGGGCGCGCCCCCUCGCGAAAAGUAGUGCCCACUCUAGGCACUACUCUGCCACCUGGCGCCGCCUCUGGCCGUGCUGAGUAAUGCAGAGGCGGGGUCGGGGACUCCAGUUGAUGAUAACUGACAAAGCCUCUCUUAGCUCAGUGGUAAAGCGCCCAAGAGUUCAAUCCCCAGUCCCAGCAACAAUUUAGGGAAUCAGUAGUAGCAGUUCUAAGAUUCAGAAAAAGGGAAAUAAGCAACCUAUCAACCUGUCUGCAGUGUUCAAGGAACUAGAAAAGCAGGACCAAACUGGGCCCAAAGGUAAUAGAAGGAAAAAAGUAAUGAUUAGAGCAAAAAUAAAUAAAACAGAGACUUGAAAGAUUAUAGAGAAGAUAAAAAAAAUGAAACAAUAAACCGGUUUUUGGAAAUGGUAAACAAAAUUGAAAAAAACUUUAGCUAGACUGAGAGAAAACUCAAAUAAAAAUUAUAAAUGAAGGAGAAGACAUUGCAAGUGAUACCCAAGAAAUAAGAUCAUAAUAGACUCUACUACCAGAGUGGAGUCAUCUCCUGGGCACCAUCCUCCGGGGCUUCCACAGGGGCUCAAGACCUAUCUCAGAGAUACAACAGGGCCUCUCAUGGUCUGGUCUUGUCCUGUCACCCCUCCUUCACCUACUCAGACUUUGACUUAAUUAUAGCAGAGAAGAGAUUUUGUUUGGUGAUAUUUCUCCCACUGCAUCAACUUAAGUCAGAUCCUUACAGUGUCUUUUUCUUUAAUAGGGAGACACCAUUAAAUUGCCAUCACUUUAUAUUAGAUUAGAUCUACCAUACUGAUUUCAUGAGUUUUUCUUAGAGAUCCUCCUGUCAUUUGUGAGAAAGGAUGGCUCUUUUGAUAUAUGGGAUACAAUUAUGUCUUUGUUUGUAAUCUUAAACUAGAUUAUUCAAUAUGGUUGCAUCUGCAAUUUUAUAAAAUGGUAUAAAUUCCUCAUAUAUCAAAACCAAAGAUCACAGAUGUGUGAAUCCCAUUGAAUAAAUUCAGGUAAAAAAUUAUUUACUUCUAUUUGCUCAUCUCUGAUGCUGAAAAUUUUGAGAACUCCUGAGAAAAAUAAAAAAUGACCAUUCUUCUUCUAAUGGGUUUAAGGUACUUUACAGGGUGCCAUGGAUGAGCUGAGUCAAAGGGUGGGGAGCAUUUUCUCAGAGGCUUGUGUGGGCAGAUGGUGCAUUAUGCUUUCUUCAUUGACAUCAACCUGGAGUCAUUUCCUUUUUUUUUUAAACAGGCGCAAUAUCUUUAUUUAUUAUUUUAAAUGUGGUGCAGAGGAUUGAACCCAGUGCUCCACACUUGCAAGGCAAGCACUCUGCCACUGAGCUUCAGCCCCAGCCCCUGGAGUCUUUUAAUCCCCUUCUGUAUACUGGGAUUGAAUAUAAUCUUACUAUUUCCCCCCUCUUUGCAACUGACCACAAAUUAAAUGAAUUUUCUCUGUUUCAUAAAAAAAGAAAGACCUAAUUUUGAUCCUUUUCAACCAUGUCUCCUCAUGGGAUGAGAUGACUCAAGAGAGAGUUGGGUCUUGAUCAAAAGGACUGAUCUGUCAGCAGGGGUCAUGGAAGAGGCAAGGCUCAUUCAAGUCAUUGUAUUAACUUGCACUGAACUUUUAAAAAAAGCUGUGUUUACCAAUUUCAAAUAUGUGGGAUGUAAAAUGUAUCUCGAAUUAAAUGAGUUUCCUUUUUUUUUUUUUUUUGAGAUUCUGGGGACUAAACCCAGGGCCUCACCUGUGCUAGUUAAGCACUCUACAACUGAGCUUUAACCUCAGCUACAUUUACAUGUUUUUCAGCUCAGUUUGUAAAGAAAAAAAGAAAGAAAAGUCUACAUUUUUUCCAUCAAGAAAUCUCUGGAGAUUCAGGAAUAGGGGGAAAUGUGUAGGGUUGGUAUUUCAAAUCUGGAAUGGAAUUGCUUUUGGCUCUCAAUAUGUUAGAUUUGACUCCCUUGUACCAUGGGCUUUUAUGAUCCAGGAAAAUAUUUGUGGCGGGGAAGUAAUAUUUGCUCACUUGUUUUCAUAUAUAGAGUGUUAGAGUCUGUAAACAAGUCAGGAUGGCACCUGGUAUUUUGCCAGGGGGAGUGGUUAAUGUUAAGGUCUGUAAACAAGUCUGGAUGGCGCCUGGCAAAAUGCCAGAGGGAGUGGUUUGUGAAGUAACGCCAGAGAGCCAUUAAGUGUGGAGAUUUCUUAUUGGUUGACUGCUGUAUCUAGUUUAUGUUAAUUAGAUAAGCUGUGUGGAAUGUAUAAAUACCUCUGUUGUCCUACAAUAAACGGCUUCCACUCCUGCUGUAUCAACGUACACAA
rnacentral:lncRNA from 1 species